rnacentral:rRNA from 1 species
GAGAAACGGCUACCACAUCCAAGGAAGGCAGCAGGCGCGCAAAUUACCCAAUCCCGACACGGGGAGGUAGUGACAAUAAAUAACAAUACGGGGCUCAUUUGGGUCUCGUAAUUGGAAUGAGUACAAUUUAAAUCUCUUAACGAGGAACAAUUGGAGGGCAAGUCUGGUGCCAGCAGCCGCGGUAAUUCCAGCUCCAAUAGCGUAUAUUAAAGUUGUUGCAGUUAAAAAGCUCGUAGUUGAACUUCGGGGUCUACCCAUUGGUCAGGCUUAAUUGUCUGCACUGGUGAGAUGGAUCUCUACCUUCUGAGGAACUUUCAUGCCAUUUAUUUGGUGUGGUUGGAAAUCAGGACUGUUACUUUGAAAAAAUUAGAGUGUUUAAAGCAGACUAUCGUCUGAAUACAUUAGCAUGGAAUAAUGAAAUAGGACGGACUGAUUCUAUUUCGUUGGUUUCUAGGAUCACCGUAAUGAUUAAUAGGGAUAGUUGGGGGCAUUAGUAUUCAAUUGUCAGAGGUGAAAUUCUUGGAUUUAUUGAAGACUAACUACUGCGAAAGCAUUUGCCAAGGAUGUUUUCAUUAAUCA